rnacentral:rRNA from 1 species
GACGAACGCUGGCGGCGUGCUUAACACAUGCAAGUCGAACGGAAAGGCCCUCACCUUGGAGGGGGUGCUCGAGUGGCGAACGGGUGAGUAACACGUGGGUGAUCUGCCCUGUACUUCGGGAUAAGCUUGGGAAACUGGGUCUAAUACCGGAUAGGACCAUGGUUUAGUGUCUCAUGGUGGAAAAAUUAUUGUUUUGGUGCAGGAUGAGCUCGCGGCCUAUCAGCUUGUUGGUGGGGUAAUGGCCUACCAAGGCGUCGACGGGUAGCCGGCCUGAGAGGGUGGACGGCCACAUUGGGACUGAGAUACGGCCCAGACUCCUACGGGAGGCAGCAGUGGGGAAUAUUGCACAAUGGGCGCAAGCCUGAUGCAGCGACGCCGCGUGGGGGAUGACGGCCUUCGGGUUGUAAACUCCUUUCGUUAGGGACGAAGCCACACUUUUUUUGGGUGUGGUGACGGUACCUUUGUUAAGAAGCACCGGCUAACUACGUGCCAGCAGCCGCGGUAAUACGUAGGGUGCGAGCGUUGUCCGGAAUUACUGGGCGUAAAGAGCUCGUAGGUGGUUUGUUGCGUCGUCUGUGAAAUUCCGGGGCUUAACUUCGGGGUGGCAGGCGAUACGGGCAUAACUAGAGUGCUGUAGGGGAGACUGGAAUUCCUGGUGUAGCGGUGGAAUGCGCAGAUAUCAGGAGGAACACCGAUGGCGAAGGCAGGUCUCUGUGCAGUAACUGACGCUGAGGAGCGAAAGCAUGGGGAGCGAACAGGAUUAGAUACCCUGGUAGUCCAUGCUGUAAACGGUGGGCGUUAGGUGUGGGGACCGGUUUGGUUUCUGUGCCGUAGCUAACGCAUUAAGCGCCCCGCCUGGGGAGUACGGCCGCAAGGCUAAAACUCAAAGGAAUUGACGGGGGCCCGCACAAGCGGCGGAGCAUGUGGAUUAAUUCGAUGCAACGCGAAGAACCUUACCUGGGUUUGACAUGCGCCAGACGGUUGUAGAGAUACGUACCUCCCUUUGUGGUUGGUGUGCAGGUGGUGCAUGGUUGUCGUCAGCUCGUGUCGUGAGAUGUUGGGUUAAGUCCCGCAACGAGCGCAACCCUUGUCUUAUGUUGCCAGCACGUUUGGGUGGGGACUCAUGAGAGACUGCCGGGGUUAACUCGGAGGAAGGUGGGGAUGACGUCAAAUCAUCAUGCCCUUUAUGCCCAGGGCUUCACACAUGCUACAAUGGUUAGUACAACGCGCGGCGAGCCUGUGAGGGUGAGCGAAUCGCUGAAAGCUAAUCUCAGUUCGGAUUGGGGUCUGCAACUCGACCCCAUGAAGUCGGAGUCGCUAGUAAUCGCAGAUCAGCAAUGCUGCGGUGAAUACGUUCCCGGGCCU